GUCUGGGAUAGCUCAGAUGGAAGAGUGCAAGGCUCUUAAUCUCAGGGUUGUGGGUUCAAGCCCCACGUUGGGCA